GUGCCAGCAGCCGCGGUAAUACGUAGGGGGCAAGCGUUGUCCGGAUUUACUGGGCGUAAAGAGCGCGUAGGCGGAUGCUUAAGUGUGGCCUGAAAGCCCCCGGCUCAACCGGGGAUCCGGGUUGCAUACUGGGCAUCUUGAGGGAGAUAGGGGAAGGUGGAAUUCCUGGUGUAGCGGUGAAAUGCGUAGAGAUCAGGAGGAACACCCGUGGCGAAGGCGGCCUUCUGGGUCUGCCCUGACGCUGAGGCGCGAAAGCGUGGGGAGCGAACGGGAUUAGAUACCCCGGUAGUCC
rnacentral:rRNA from 1 species